UAUUCAUCACAGAUCUUUCCUGUAAAGAAUUUGUAUAAAGAGCAUCCUUCUCCAUUGAGAGCUUCAGAACCUCCAUCACGUGCACCAAAGGAACCCUGUGCUAAAUUUGAAAAUGAGAUUUUUUGUUGGAAUUUUAGCGAUUCUAUCAAUUGCAGUUCUCGUUACUUCUGUUCCAAUCCCAGCGGAAGAUGACAUGAAUGUAAUCAUUGCAGAUCCUAAUAUGCUUAAUGGCGAACUAGGAGGUGAACGGGGAAAACGCGCACCUUGGAUUGGAACUGCGUUACGAACAGUUGCCUCUGGUCUCGGCAGCUACUUCGGAGCUCGUUGGGGUUGACCAGCACCUCAAAAUAUAUGCACAAAUAUCUUCCAAUUAUCGAAAUAUAAAAAACAACGAACAAUUCCUCUGGUCAUGUAUUCAAACAAUUUUCAAUAAAUUUUAUGAAUAUUAUCAAGAAA